AAACGUACCUUAAUCACUUGGACUAAAAUAAGCAAUUUAAAGUUCUUCAAAUCUACCAUAUGUUGCUUUCCAACGAUUCUAGCAACAGUGCGAUAUAUAUCAUCUUUUUUUAGGACUGUAUGAUUUCGGAUAUUGGCUUGAACAGCGAACUCCUGGAGUUAGCCUAUUGUAUGCUAAAGCCAUAUAUUAUUGCUAACUUACCUUAAUCCCUUCCUGGCCUUCAUGAAAUAACGGGUCAAUCAGACUUUUAGCAAGCUCCUCGAGAUCAUCCAGGGAAACGCCAGUUGUUCUUACAAUCGGUAUCAAUCGUU